GCUUGAGUAGCUUAGUCGGUAGAGCAUCAGACUUUUAUGACUUUUAAUCUGAGGGUCCAGGGUUCAAGUCCCUGUUUGAGCG
rnacentral:tRNA from 1 species